AACGGCGGCCGUAACUAUAACGGUCCUAAGGUAGCGAAAUUCCUUGUCGGGUAAGUUCCGACCUGCACGAAUGGCGUAACGACAGCGGCGCUGUCUCCACCCGAGACUCAGUGAAAUUGAAAUCGCUGUGAAGAUGCAGCGUUCCCGCAGCAAGACGGAAAGACCCCGUGAACCUUUACUACAGCUUUACACUGAACGUUGAGUUCGUCUGUGUAGCAUAGGUGGGAGCCUACGAAGGCCAGGCGCCAGCUUGGCUGGAGGCGUCGUUGAAAUACCACCCUGAUGUGCUCGACGUUCUAACCUAGGCCCGUAAUCCGGGUCAGGGACCGUGUAUGGUGGGUAGUUUGACUGGGGCGGUCUCCUCCCAAAGAGUAACGGAGGAGCACGAAGGUGCGCUCAGCACGGUCGGACAUCGUGCAGUGUGUGCAAAGGCAUAAGCGCGCUUGACUGCAAGAUCGACGGAUCAAGCAGGUACGAAAGUAGGUCUUAGUGAUCCGGUGGUUCUGUAUGGAAGGGCCAUCGCUCAACGGAUAAAAGGUACUCCGGGGAUAACAGGCUGAUACCGCCCAAGAGUUCAUAUCGACGGCGGUGUUUGGCACCUCGAUGUCGGCUCAUCACAUCCUGGGGCUGUAGUCGGUCCCAAGGGUAUGGCUGUUCGCCAUUUAAAGUGGUACGCGAGCUGGGUUCAGAACGUCGUGAGACAGUUCGGUCCCUAUCUGUUGUGGGCGUUGGAGGUUUGAGAGGGGCUGCUCCUAGUACGAGAGGACCGGAGUGGACGUACCCCUGGUGUUCCGGUUGUCACGCCAGUGGCAUUGCCGGGUAGCUAUGUACGGAAGAGAUAACCGCUGAAAGCAUCUAAGCGGGAAACUCGCCUCAAGAUGA
rnacentral:rRNA from 1 species